rnacentral:lncRNA from 1 species
AUGAAUUAAAAUAUUUCUGUGUAGAGUUUUCCCCUAGGUAUAGGAACAAUUUACUGUGGGCUAUAAUAACCCCAGGAUGUGUAGACAGAAGACACAUGGUGUCUGUGUAUACUAAACUCUAAUGAGGUUACAAACCACUUCUACUCUAUUCCAGAUCUAUUGAGGCUCCUACUUAUCUUGGUUGGUAUUUGACCCAGUGGACCUCAGAUGCAUGGAGAGUCAACAUUUGUCAUGUUUUUGGGCUCUACCUGGACCUGCCAACCCAGUUCCUGUGCGCCCCUCAGAAGAAUUCAGCCUGCAGGAGGACAGCUUUGACCCCUGUGAUUUCAUCUCUGCCCCAACCAAUCAGCAGCAAGCACCCAUUCCCUGGCAGUCCCACCCCUUCCCCCAAACUGCCUUUGAAAAACCCCUACCUAGGAGCCUUAGACAAUAUUGAUUUGAGUACUAACUCCAUCU